rnacentral:rRNA from 1 species
GAUGAACGCUGGCGGCGUGCCUAAUACAUGCAAGUCGAGCGAAUGGAUUAAGAGCUUGCUCUUAUGAAGUUAGCGGCGGACGGGUGAGUAACACGUGGGUAACCUGCCCAUAAGACUGGGAUAACUCCGGGAAACCGGGGCUAAUACCGGAUAACAUUUUGAACCGCAUGGUUCGAAAUUGAAAGGCGGCUUUGGCUGUCACUUAUGGAUGGACCCGCGUCGCAUUAGCUAGUUGGUGAGGUAACGGCUCACCAGGGCAACGAUGCGUAGCCGACCUGAGAGGGUGAUCGGCAACACUGGGACUGAGACACGGCCCAGACUCCUACGGGAGGCAGCGGUAGGGAAUCUUCCGCAAUGGACGAAAGUCUGACGGAGCAACGCCGCGUGAGUGAUGAAGGCUUUCGGGUCGUAAAACUCUGUUGUUAGGGAAGAACAAGUGCUAGUUGAAUAAGCUGGCACCUUGACGGUACCUAACCAGAAAGCCACGGCUAACUACGUGCCAGCCGCCGCAGUAA